rnacentral:rRNA from 1 species
UACGUAGGGUGCGAGCGUUGUCCGGAAUUAUUGGGCGUAAAGGGCUCGUAGGCGGUUUGUCGCGUCGGGAGUGAAAACUCAGGGCUUAACCCUGAGCCUGCUUCCGAUACGGGCAGACUAGAGGUAUGCAGGGGAGAACGGAAUUCCUGGUGUAGCGGUGAAAUGCGUAGAGAUCUGCAAGAACACCCGUGGCGAAGGCGGCCAGCUGGGCCGGAUCCGACGCUGAGGCGCGAAAGCGUGGGGAGCAAACAGG